rnacentral:rRNA from 1 species
AGCCUCCGGGCGCCCAACCUCCCACCCGUGACUACCUAACACUGUUGCUUCGGCGGGGAGCCCUCUCGGGGGCGAGCCGCCGGGGACUACUGAACUUCAUGCCUGAGAGUGAUGCAGUCUGAGUCUGAAUAUAAAAUCAGUCAAAACUUUCAACAAUGGAUCUCUUGGUUCCGGCAUCGAUGAAGAACGCAGCGAACUGCGAUAAGUAAUGUGAAUUGCAGAAUUCAGUGAAUCAUCGAGUCUUUGAACGCACAUUGCGCCCCCUGGCAUUCCGGGGGGCAUGCCUGUCCGAGCGUCAUUGCUGCCCAUCAAGCCCGGCUUGUGUGUUGGGUCGUCGUCCCCCCCGGGGGACGGGCCCGAAAGGCAGCGGCGGCACCGUGUCCGGUCCUCGAGCGUAUGGGGCUUUGUCACCCGCUCGAUUAGGGCCGGCCGGGCGCCAGCCGACGUCUCCAACCAUUUUCUUCAGGUUGACCUCGGAUCAGGUAGGGAUACCCGCUGAACUUAAGCAUAUCAAUAAGCGGAGGAAA